rnacentral:misc_RNA from 1 species
UUCCUCCUCCUUCUUCUUCUUCUAUCUUUGUGAUGUGGCAUGACGAAGGCUGGGGACACGCGUUUCCAAUGUUCAGAAAUUCAUGAAACAGCUCAAAAACGUCCCACCGCCGCCGUGUCAUGGCAUUUCUGUAUCGAAAACGUUUCCUACACAGGGAAACGAAUGGCGUUUCCAUGCAUCAUAGGGUAUUUGCACUCGCUCGAGGUUUUAUGGUCUUGAUAGUUCUACAUUUCUGCAAUGGUUUUUACAAAAUACAGAAAAUUUUGGUUGAUUCGUGAGACAACACUUGUCUGCAAGCUCAAGAUUCAUAAGAUUGACUCAAGGGAUCAAGCAGUCACUUUUGUUCCAAGUCUUAUUUGUCCCAAGGAUCUUAUGAAGGGACUGCUUGGCCGACACUGCCAAAAUUGCUUUCUCUUUUGAUUUUGAUUUUGUUGAAUCUUAUUUUUGUCAUUUUUUUUUCAAGAAACAUGAUUGAACAUCUCUUUAUGCAG